UGCAUUUUGAUGGCACGGUACUAAAAGUGAAACUAUCCAGAGAAGAUUAGCAUGCCCGUGCUUAAAGACUACACACCAAUCCAUACAGCAGUGCAUUUUCAAAUUUUU